CUAGGGAUCAAGACUGUCUGCUGCAGGCACUGACUGAUCUUCCAGCAGUCCUAGCAAGAAAGCCUGGAAACAGCUUCCACUCUAAAAUGGACGCUGACCUAGCCCAGGGAAGCUUUUCUCCUAUUGCCACUUCAAAGAGGAGUGAGUAGCCAACUGUGAAGUGAGGACCUUGGAGCAUUUCAGUCUGCCUUAAAAGAAGCCCAGGCCACUCUAUGAUGACAACCCUGCUGCCCCAGCUGCUGCCCAUAAGCUCUUACUUCAGCUCUGGGCCUGUGGUGCCACUGCAGCAGAUCAGCAUCUCACAGCCUCCGGGCUCCUGAAUCAUUGAGCAGAGCUGGCCUUCGUGAAUGAAUUCUUCUCCCUGUCACACUUUGAACACAUCUCUCGGUUACAUUCUUUAUUUUUUAAUGUGUUGUUCUUAGCCUCCUCUAUAAGCUUAAAUUAUUGAAUUGGGGAAGGAAAAGUUAAAUCAGGUGAUGCGUGUUAUGCUGAGAACAGCUGCCAGGGAGGCAGGAGCUGCAGCAACCCAUGGGCUGUUGUUCUCUCAAAGAAGUGAGCCCUGGCCUGAGGGCUCUGCUGCGCUCACACUGGUGUGUCAGCGCGGGGGGGGUUGACUGCUGCCCGUGCUGUCAGCACACACACAUGUGCACGGUGUUAACCUGUAGCCUCAGCGGUGCUGCAGGUCCGUAUAACCUCUUGGUCUGUGUACGACGGUAAUGAAAAGGUUUCACAGGUUCUUUGUGGGGCGGGGAGGCGGCUGAGCAGCCCGUGCUGUGCUUCCUCCUGAGGGCACGGCCUGGAUGAGCGCUGCGGUCCUUUUCAACCCAGGCCGCUCUGUGACUGUACAGAACAUGGAGCUGCAAGGUCACGCGCGGCCCUCCUGGCGAUGGGCGCCGCUCCUCUGCGCUCUGCAGCCGCAGCCCGGGGCAAUGGCAGCCCCUCCCGUCCCAACCCCACCUGAGCUGUGCUGUGGGGGGGGCGGUGGGCACGGCCCGGAGCUGAAGGAGCAUUGGAGCGAUGCUCUCAGACGGAGCGCUGGGCGGUCCUGUGUGGGCCGCGGUCGGACGCGGCGAUCCCUUC
rnacentral:lncRNA from 1 species